rnacentral:rRNA from 1 species
CCGGGUAGUCCCCAGCUGUAACGAUGCAGACUCGGUGAUGGCUGGCCUUGUGCCAGCCCAGUGCCGCAGGGAAGCCGUUAAGUCUGCCGCCUGGGGAGUACGGUUCCGCAAGACUGAAACUUAAAGGAAUUGGCGGGGGAGCACCACAAGGGGNUGAAGCCUUGCGGUUCAAUUGNGGAAGUCAAACGCCGGGAAUUCUUACCNGGGGGCGACAGCAGAGUGAAGGUCAAGCUGAAGACUUUACCAGACAAGCUGAGAGGAGGUGCAUGGCCGUCGCCAGCUCGUGCCGUGAGGUGUCCUGUUAAGUCAGGUAACGAGCGAGAUCCCUGCUUUUAGUUGCUACCACUACUCUCAGGAGGAGUGGGGCUAAUUAAAAGGACUGCCGCCGCUAAGGCGGAGGAAGGAGGGGGCUACGGCAGGUCAGUAUGCCCCGAAACCCUCGGGCCACACGCGGGCUGCAAUGGUAAGGACAAUGGGCUCCGAUUCCGAAAGGAGGAGGCAAUCCCUAAACCUUACCUCAGUUAUGAUUGAGGGCUGAAACUCGCCCUCAUGAAUAUGGAAUCCCUAGUAACCGCGUGUCAUUAUCGCGCGGUGAUACGUCCUGCUCCUUGCACACA